rnacentral:rRNA from 1 species
UACGGAGGGUGCAAGCGUUAUCCGGAUUUACUGGGUUUAAAGGGUGCGUAGGCGGGUUGAUAAGUCAGUGGUGAAACCUCCGAGCUUAACUCGGAAAAUGCCAUUGAUACUAUCAGUCUUGAAUUCAGUUGAGGUGGGCGGAAUGUGUCGUGUAGCGGUGAAAUGCUUAGAUAUGACACAGAACACCAAUUGCGAAGGCAGCUCGCUAAACUGACAUUGACGCUGAGGCACGAAAGCGUGGGGAUCAAACAGG